AAUCUGUACCUAGUCGUUUGGUGUGACAGAACAAUGGGGGCUUCAUGGCCUGCAAUCUGCAGCUUAUUGUUCGUUCCUCAGAAGCUCGCGGAGGAAGAGCCACAGUAAUGACACUGGAAAGAGACUCGACGGGAAGGCAGGGCUCCGCUGGAGAGCAAUUUGAGAUCUUUGUCACCAGGGAAAGCUGUUGACAUGUCAUGGAUUGGUGACAGGCAGAGCCCUGGACCUCCUCGACCCUGCACAGGAGAAGCGGGCAUGAAAAACAGACGGGUGCAUGGAUGGAUGGAUGAUAGAUCUCAUUUGUUUUGUGCAAAUGGUCUAGCACGUUUUUUUUGCUAAGUUUGAAUGACAGGGUUUAUUUCAGGUCUUGUUCCACAGACCAGUCAGAGUGGUGCUACCUUACAUGAGAUGUCAGAGACUUUAUGGGUAAUCCUGUGCACCUGCCACCCCACGUACCCUGUCGGUGAUGCCCUCACCUUCCCUGGCCAACUCGGCCACCACCAGGGUCACCUGUGAUGUGAGGAGGCUCUUCUUACUCAAGGUCUGCGCCAGUGAUGGAAGAAUCCCACUGGCAGCUAUCUCCUCUGGGGCUCC